GAUGAAGAACGUAGCGAAAUGCGAUAAGUAAUGUGAAUUGCAGAAUUCAGUGAAUCAUCGAAUCUUUGAACGCACCUUGCACCCUUUGGCCAUUCCGAAGGGUAUGCCUGUUUGAGUAUCAUGAACACCUCAACUCUCAUGGCUUGCCAUGAUGAGCUUGGACUUUGGGGGUCUUGCUGGCCUGCAGUCAGCUCCUCUCAAAUGAAUUAGCUUCCCAGUGUUUGGCGGCAUCACAGGUGUGAUAACUAUCUACGCUUGUGGUUCCCACCAGGUAACCUUCAGUAGAAUGGGGGUUCGCUGGAGCUCAUAAAUGUCUCUCCUCAGCGAGGACAGCUCUUUGAACAUUUGAUCUCAAAUCAGGUAGGACUACCCGCUGAACUUAAGCAUAUCAAUAAGCGGAGGA
rnacentral:misc_RNA from 1 species